rnacentral:tRNA from 1 species
GAGGUUAUAGCUCAGUGGUAGAGUGUGUGCUUAGCAUGCAAGAGGUCCUGGGUUCAAUCCCUAGUACCUCCA